rnacentral:lncRNA from 13 species
ACCCUCUUGGUCUCCGGGUAGCACAUCCUGGGCCGGGGUGAGCUCCUGCUGCAUUCCUGCUGCCAGGUGGGCCGCAUCCCAGCCCCAGACCACGGCUUGCACCUCAGCCUGACCCUCCGAAACCACAGCAGGCCUCAUUCGCCUGAUUUCUCCGGGGAGCUGGAGGGCCCCUGGCUACACUGAAGGACGCCUACCUGGAGGUGAUGCUGCAGCCCCUGGAGGAGGUGUGGCAGGAGCCGGCUGAGGAGGCCAUGUGGUGGCUGCAGACCUGGGUACCUGGAAUGCCAGGCAACGGGGGUCCCAGGCUCAUCAGGCUGGCCAUGGGGGCCGUGAAAGGCGCCCUGGAGCUGGUGGCCCACCAGAUGCUGUCCUGGGCUGAGGCCACAUUCUCACGGGCACUGAAGAGGCUCUGCAAACCCCUGCUGGACCUGUAUGACCUCGCAGCCAGGAACUACUCAGUGGUGGUGACGUUGCCACUGCUGCCUUGGGGGGAUGAGUCCCUGGACAUGGCCCGGGUGACCAGCUACCUGGUGGAGGAGAAGCUGCUGCGGCCGCUCCGAGAGCUGUCAAGGGCCAACAUGCUGGCCGAGUUCUUCUGGCUCAGACGCCACCUGCUGCCAGGUCCCUGGGAGUGCAUAUCUGCUGGCCUUCUGGGCACCAACGACAAUGAAGCAGGCAAUGAGCUGAUGUUGCUGGAUGGCUCUGUGGCCCACAGCCUGGAGGAACUCAGCCUGGCCUGGCAGGUGAGCAGGUGUACCUGCCCUUUCUGCCUCCGGCUGAGGCUCUUGAGGGCUGCUCGCUGCAGAGUCCCAGGAGAGGAAGGCGCCCUGCUGGCUCUGCAGAGGUCUUUGCAGGCCCAGGGUUGGGGGAAGUCUGCUAAGGCCAAUUUAUGUGGGGGAGCCACAUGGUCCAGCAGGAGGCCUGAGUCUUAUGUCUGUCCUACCAGGUGGAUGGUGACUGCAGGGCCACUGAGAAGACUCAGCAGGCCUGCCCAGGACAGAGUCCCACCUGCUUGGCCUUCUUCCAGGACCCCCAAUCCAGCUUGGGGAACUGCUUCCGGGUGGUGGACCCUGCACCAUUCCUCAGCCUGUGUGUGCAGGACCCCUGUGGCACCUGGGAGCUCCAGCCUGCCUGCACUCUGGUGGCCGCCUACAUCCACCUGUGUGCCCACAGCUUUGUGCCCCUGGCCCCUCCUCCACAGUGUGUUUAAGAUGUCAUCUAAGCCAGCACUAGGCUGCCAAAGACUUCAAACUCCUUCACCUUCUACUCUAAUUCCAGCUCCUUGA